AUUGAACGCUGGCGGCAGGCCUAACACAUGCAAGUCGAACGGUAACAGGAAGAAGCUUGCUUCUUUGCUGACGAGUGGCGGACGGGUGAGUAAUGUCUGGGAAACUGCCUGAUGGAGGGGGAUAACUACUGGAAACGGUAGCUAAUACCGCAUAACGUCGCAAGCCCAAAGAGGGGGACCUUCGGGCCUCUUGCCAUCGGAUGUGCCCAGAUGGGAUUAGCUAGUAGGUGGGGUAACGGCUCACCUAGGCGACGAUCCCUAGCUGGUCUGAGAGGAUGACCAGCCACACUGGAACUGGGACACGGUCCAGACUCCUACGGGAGGCAGCAGUGGGGAAUAUUGCACAAAGGGCGCAAGCCUGAUGCAGCCAUGCCGCGUGUAUGAAGAAGGCCUUCGGGUUGUAAAGUACUUUCAGCGGGGAGGAAGGGAGUAAAGUUAAUACCUUUGCUCAUUGACGUUACCCGCAGAAGAAGCACCGGCUAACUCCGUG
rnacentral:rRNA from 1 species